AGAAGCGAGCCUGUGAAGAGGAGCCAAACUCAAAAAACCGGUCCCAGUUCGGAUUGUAGGCUGCAACUCGCCUACAUGAAGUCGGAGUUGCUAGUAAUCGCGGAUCAGAAUGCCGCGGUGAAUGCGUUCCCGGGUCUUGUACACACCGCCCGUCACACCAUGGAAGUUGGGGGCGCCCGAAGUUGGUCGGGAAAUAGAUUACCUAAGGCGAAACCAAUGACUGGGGUGAAGUCGUAACAAGGUAAC
rnacentral:rRNA from 1 species